CAUAUGAAACAAAACAAAAUAAAUGGCUGCAGACAUUUCACGAUAUUUUGUGGCUGUGCACAUCUACAAAAAAAUGGGGGACCUAGCAGAGCACUAAAUAUUACAGUACACAAGAAGAGGAUUUUCUUGCUCUUGCCUUUUUGUCGUAGAGUCUUAUAAUUGGAAGAAGUGAGCUAAUAAACAGGUGAAAGUUGCUGUGCAUGGAUCCUAUAUGGAAUGAGCACAAUAAGUCUAGGAGACGGCAUAUUUCAUAAUAAUCCAUUCAAUGUGGAUAUAAAGGCUCCUGAUAACAUGUUGUAUAUGAAAAUACCUUCAGGACUUACCAGGCUUGUGGUACUGCAAACAUAACUCAAUUUCCUGUCCUCCACCUCGUUCUAUGGAGUGAACGUAAAGGACAAGAUUUAAACAACUGAAGAGUGCAGAAUAUUUAUUUAUGGCUCCAAAGUGUCAUUGGAGAUCUUCUAGGACAUCUAGAUGUAGCUGGUAAACGUGACAUAGGACCUGUAGGAGAGCUGUUGACUUCAGGAACCGAUAAAGGAGGUUGUCUAAGGUAUUCUGCUGGACUUUCUUCUCUUCAGUUUCAUUUUUUGCUUCUGCUAGCAGCUUGUGAGUGUCUGUCCUUCAUAGACAAUGUU